CAGACAAUCCCAGUGAACAAAGCAUUGAUAUCCUCUUGAAGUUAAAGUCAACUGUAGUUGUAGUAGAGUGAGGGAAAGAUUGUUGUGAAAAUAGCGACCAAGGCCGUAGCAUUGUUGUCCCUACAAUUCACUAUCAUACAUUCUUCCUCUCUCUAUUCCGACACACUCUAUCUUAGAGUCACCUGCUCCUUUGCCAACAAAAGAUACUGCAAGUUAGCAUGUUGAUGGGAGAAAAAUAUGUUCGCAGAUGAAAGGUAAAAUGGGUUAUGCCUGGCUCCCUCCAUGCCACUCAUGCUGUCCUAUCUUAUUUAGAGAUUGACACGGGGAGAGGCAUGUAGGAAGCCAGGCGUUCUCUCUCUCUCUCUCUCUCUCUUCUCUCCUCUUCUCUUCUCUUCUCUUCUCUUCUCUUCUCUUUUGAUCCACUCUAUCACAAUGUCACUUGGUUCCUUUGUCAACAAGAAAAAAAAAAAAAUUCUAACUUAAUGUUGAUAUAAGGAAAGUAUGUUCAGAGAUGAAAGGUAAAAAGGGUUAUGCCUGGCUCCCUGCAUGCCAUUCGCAUUGUCCUAUCUUAUUUAGAGAUUGGCAGGGGGAGUCGCAUGCAGGAAGCCAAGCAUUUUCUCCCUCUCUCCUCUCUUUUCUGAUUCCCUCUAUCUCAAUGUCACUUGGUUCCUUUGUCAAAAAAAAAAAAAAAAACUGCUAGUUAGUAUGUCGAUAGAAGGGAAAUAUAUUCAGAGAUGAAAGGUAAAAAGGGUUAUGCCUGGCUCCCUGCAUGCCACUCGCACUAUCCUAUCUUAUUUAGAGAUUGGUAGGGGGAGAGGCAUGCAGGAAGCCAUGCAUUCUCUCUCUCUUCCGAAUCAUCUAUCUCAGUUUGAAUUAGUUCCUUUGUCAAAAAAAAAAAAAAAAAAAAAAAAAAAAACUGCUAGAUAGCAUUUUGAUAGAAGAAAAAUAUGUUCAGAGAUGAAAGGUAAAAUGAAUUAUGCCUAGCUCCCUGCAUGCCCCUCGCACUGUCCUAUCUUAUUUAGAUAUUGACAAGGGGAGAGGUAUGCAGGAAACCAUGCAUUCUCUCUCACUCUCCCCCUUUUCUGAUUCACUCUAUCUCAAUGUCACUUUGUUCCUUUGUCAAUAAAAGGAAAAAAAAAAAAAAAAAAAACUGCUAGUUGGCAUGUUGAUAGGAGGAAAAUGUAUUUAGAGAUGAAAGGUAAAAUGGGUUAUACCUGGCUCCCUGUAUGCCACUCGCAUUGCCUAUCUUAUUUAGAGAUUGACAAGGGGGAGACAUGCAGGUAGCCAGGCAUUAUUGACAAGGGGAAGACAUGCAGGUAGCCAGGCAUUCUCAUUCUCUCUCUCUCUCUCUAUAUAUAUAAUAUAAUAUAAUAUUUGUUUAUGUGUUACUCAUCAAUGAUUAGAUUGGUUUUGAAAAUAGAAAAGGAGAAAUAGGUUGUUUGCUUUUUUUUUUUUUUUUUCCGAAGAUAGGUUGAAGCAUGUGUAAGAAGGAAUUGGCAAUUUCAGGUGGUGUAUAUGGACCAAGGGAUACAUCUUUCAUGCAUACUAUUUCUUCUUCUUUUUUAAUUAGUUUAUGUAUAUGGUUUCAAUUUAAGGAUAUAACAUCUUUUUGUUGUACAUAAAGUGUUAGACAAAGUAUUCCUUCAGCAAGUGAUGAAAUUCAUCACUCCAUCCCAGGGUUCAUAAAUCCCUAAAAGGUUUUUGUAUCGUUCCUAAAAUCCCCUCAUGGUACCCCCAUUUACUAUGACCUCAGGAAAACUUGAUCCAUCUAUCUUUAUUGAUAAAGUAUUGAUUGAAUUCAAUGUAGAUGAUUUCAGGAGAUCAAGGAAAUGUGUCUUUUAAAGAUGGAAGAACUCUUUCAAAUCUCAUUGUGCUCAUGCUAUAGAACUACGUAGAAGCUAUAAAAAGGAAAAAGUAACUACGGUAACAUUCCCUUAAUGAUGAUCUAAUGAUUUAAUCCAUUUAACCAAAUGUCUUAGGUACCCACAUGACUUCUUAUAAAGCACAAGAACAAAGGUGCCUAUUUGGGAAGCAAUCAUCGAAGAUAACACCCCAAAUCUAUCUAGUGAAGGAACAUUGGAAAAAGAGAUGACCCCAAAUAGUAUUGUUUCUGAAUUCCUGUAAUUCCAAUGAAACUCAUCAAUUAAGAUACAAGGCCAUUUAAUUAUCACUUAAGAGAGUCUUCUAUUUUUACAAAAACAGGGAAUCUUCUAUAGAUGUCGAUGGGAAUCAAAUCAAGAUCUAUAUAUAUAUAUAUAUAUAUAUAUAUUUUAAGAGAAUCUGGCGGCUGUCCAUUGGGUUUAAGUAGCAAAAAUUUAUGUGCUUUAUUUUUAAGUCUCUUUUCUUGUGUCUGUUUAAUUUUAGUACUAUACCAGUAUACCUGUAGAUGAUAUGAAUAAUUUUUUUCUGUUUCUUUAUCAUAAUUUGUUAUUUCUUAUGGACACAGAGAGAUAAAAUUAUUCUUUCACAUGAAAAACCCAAGCCUUUUUCUAUCCUCAAUCCCAUCAAGCAAUGGACUGAUUAUUACUGUCAAACCAUUAAGAACCAGGAAAAAAGUAUCAAGCUAGUGCCAGGGGCUUUUUAUAUGGACUGAAAGGGGCAUGAAUGAUGGGUAGAACAUGGGGGUGGUAUGAAGCGAUUCGGCAGAAUUCAAUCACGCUCUUCUUGACAGUAGGACAACUUCGUGGCCUUGGAGUGUAAUUCCUUUUUUUCUGGAUGUUCAUAAUUUUGUGUUUAUACCAACCUUCAUGCUCAGGCCAGUGAACGAAGUAGGCCUACUCAUGGGACUUUUUGCGAAUAAUAUCAUUACCAAACUCUCAUGUAUAGAUAUAAGAAUUUGGACAUUGAUGUACUUAGUUACUUAUAUUCUUAACGAAUUUGUACAUAGUUACUUAUAUUCUUAACGAUUUUUUUUUAUUUGAUAAAAAAUAUAUUUUUUCCUUUUCAAAGGAUGAUAGUGAACCAAAUACACCAGCAUUUAUUUUAA